rnacentral:rRNA from 1 species
GAAGCGCUUAAGUUUGAUUCUUCGGAUGAAGACUUUUGUGACUGAGCGGCGGACGGGUGAGUAACGCGUGGGUAACCUGCCUCAUACAGGGGGAUAACAGUUAGAAAUGACUGCUAAUACCGCAUAAGACCACGGUACCGCAUGGUACAGUGGUAAAAACUCCGGUGGUAUGAGAUGGACCCGCGUCUGAUUAGGUAGUUGGUGGGGUAACGGCCUACCAAGCCGACGAUCAGUAGCCGACCUGAGAGGGUGACCGGCCACAUUGGGACUGAGACACGGCCCAGACUCCUACGGGAGGCAGCAGUGGGGAAUAUUGCACAAUGGAGGAAACUCUGAUGCAGCGACGCCGCGUGAAGGAUGAAGUAUUUCGGUAUGUAAACUUCUAUCAGCAGGGAAGAAAAUGACGGUACCUGACUAAGAAGCCCCGGCUAACUACGUGCCAGCAGCCGCGGUAAUACGUAGGGGGCAAGCGUUAUCCGGAUUUACUGGGUGUAAAGGGAGCGUA